UACGUGAUCCCCGAGCGUUAUCCGGAUUUAUUGGGCGUAAAGAGUCUGUAGGCGGUUUGGAAAGUCUCAAGUUAAAUACCUAGGGCUUAACCUUAGGGGUGCUUGAGAUACUACCUAACUAGAGGGCGUUAGAGGCUGGUGGAACGGUCGGUGUAGGGGUGAAAUCCGUUGAUAUCGACCAGAACCCUAAAAGCGAAGGCAUCCAGCUGGGGCGACCCUGACGCUGAGAGACGAAAGCGUAGGUAGCGACAAGGAUUAGAUACCCCCGUA
rnacentral:rRNA from 1 species